ACUGGCUGCAAAGGAAAAGCCUUUAAUGUCAUAAGAAAUAUCUCUUUGCAGACAGAAUUUCACUAUUUUCAAGUGUAGCAGAGAUGGUGGCAUGGUGGAAUAGAAAAAAAAGCAAUGCUCUCACAGGCAACAGAUCCCUAGAGCUUGCUAAGGGUCUGAUUCUCAUCACAACUGUAAGAAGGUCACCUUUCUGAUGGCCCAGACACCAGGGAGGACAUCCUCCACAACUGACAGAUACAACAAGCGUACUUGUUACUUGUUGCCCUUAAGCGCUCAUCAAAUAGAUGUACAUAUCUUUCAUUCAUUUUUUUUCAAACCUGCCUUUGCCCAUUUCAGGCCUUUGGUGGACUGGAGCAUUCUCCAUCAGCUAUG